rnacentral:rRNA from 1 species
CCUGGCUCAGGAUGAACGCUAGCGGCAGGCCUAACACAUGCAAGUCGAGGGAGAAGCCCUUUCGGGGGCAGAAACCGGCGCACGGGUGCGUAACGCGUAUGCAACCUACCUUUCACAGGGGGAUAGCCCGAAGAAAUUUGGAUUAAUACCCCAUAAUAUUGUUGGAUGGCAUCAUCUGGCAAUUAAAACUGCGGUGGUGAAAGAUGGGCAUGCGUCCUAUUAGCUAGUUGGAGUGGUAACGGCACCCAAGGCUACGAUAGGUAGGGGUCCUGAGAGGUUGAACCCCCACACUGGUACUGAGACACGGACCAGACUCCUACGG